UACGUAGGGCGCGAGCGUUGUCCGGAAUUAUUGGGCGUAAAGAGCUCGUAGGCGGCUUGUCGCGUCUGCUGUGAAAUCCUGGGGCUUAACUCUGGGCGUGCAGUGGGUACGGGCAGGCUAGAGUGCGGUAGGGGUGAUUGGAAUUCCUGGUGUAGCGGUGGAAUGCGCAGAUAUCAGGAGGAACACCGAUGGCGAAGGCAGGUCACUGGGCCGUUACUGACGCUGAGGAGCGAAAGCAUGGGGAGCGAACAGG
rnacentral:rRNA from 1 species